GUGUGAUGGUGAAGCUGGUUGUGAUGAUGAGGAUGGUGGAGGUGAUGAGGUGAUGAUGGUGAAGCUGGUUGUGAUGAUGAGGAUGGUGGAGGUGACGAAGGUGAUGAUGGCGAUGCUGGUUGUGAUGAUGAGGAUGGUGGAGGUGAUGAAGGUGAUGAUGGUGAAGCUGGUUGUGAUGAUGAGGAUGGUGGAGGUGACGAAGGUGAUUGAUGGUGAAGCUGGUUGUGAUGAUGAGGAUGGUGGAGGUGAUGAAGGUGAUGAUGGUGAGCUGGUUGUGAUGAUGAGGAUGGUGGAGGUGACGAAGGUGAUGAUGGCGAGGCUGGUUGUGAUGAUGAGGAUGUGGAGGUGAUGAAGGUGAUGAUGGUGAAGCUGGUUGUGAUGAUGAGGAUGGGUGGAGGGUGACGAAGGUGAUGAUGGCGAUGCUGGUUGUGAUGAUGAGGAUGGUGGUGGAGGUGAUGAAGAUGAUGGUGAAGGAGCCCGUGGAGCUGUGGUUACAGUUGAAGGCCUUCAUCAGUUGCAGCAGGUCUCAGACGGACCUCAGCAGGGGUCCUGACCGGUGGUUCAGGUGGUCGACAGGCUGCCUGCUCGGCUCCUCCCACCUUGAGAGUCACCAUGAACCAGCAACGCCGUUGUUCUGGCCCGGAUCAAGCAAUGUGAAAAUGUGACUAAAUAAACAAAGCUGGAUAUUUACAGGGAUUUCUUUUUCUCCUUCUCCUCCUUCUAGGAUAUUUUCUACCUGACUGAUGUGUCACAAACAGGAACUUUGUCACUGAAUGAGCUGAGGAACGCCUUCAAUGCUUCAGGUGGGCCAGUCAGGAUGUUGCUCCUGAUGCUAUUAGCUCCUGAUGCUAUUAGCUCCUGAUGCUAUUAGCUCUUCUUUAGACAACCCAGGAGAUGUUCUGCCCCUGGGGUGUGCCCCCCUCCUCCCUCCCCCUCCUCCUCCCCCCCCCUCCCCUCCCUCCCCCCCCCCCUCCUCCCUCCCCCUCCUUCUCCUCCUCCUCCCCCCCCUCCCCUCCCCCCCUCCCCCCCUCCCCCCCCCCCCUCCUCCCCUCCCUCCCCCUCCUCCUCCUCCUCCCCCUCCCCUCCUCCUCCCCCCCUCCCCUCCCUCCUCCUCCCUCCCCUCCUCUUAUUCAGUCACUCCUGGUCUCUGAUGAGGGAACUAAGGUCACACCUGGAAGUUUGACUGUGGCUCCAUGUGUCCGGUCUGUCCGUGUCCCCCCAGGAAAGAGGCUCAGUGACGACAUGCUCAGCCUGAUGGUUGUGCGCUACGGCGGCUCUGCUGGUCACAUGUCCCUGGAGAGCUUCAUCAGCCUCAUCCUGCGUUUGGACUGCAUGCACAAGAUCUUCAAGAAUCUGUCUGAUGGAAAGUGGAUGAAUCUUCGCGAGCCAGAAGUGAGAAAAAAUACAGACAGUGAAUCUCCUGACUGACAUUUUGAAUGAUCUGAUGCAGGAAAUACAAUAAAAAAGCUAGCACAGUUAGCAGCAUUAGCAGCACAAACCUGACAAGACCACAUUUAAGUGUGUGAGUAACGUGUGUUUCUCUGUUUUCAGUGGAUUUAUCUUUCCAUGUACACUUAAGGAAGCGAGGAGGGAAGAAAGAUGGAAACUGAUCAGUAAAAUGUGUCUGUGGAUUCAGGUUUUUUGGUAUUUUACUUGACUCAAGCCAAAAAUGAUAAACAACUAACAAAAUUAAACGUCUAACAUUUUUCUGUUUUUGGCUUCAAAAUGACAGAAUUCCCCAUUGUAAAUUAUAUUAAUUUGGUAGCAUCGACAUUUUAUACAUCUAAUGUGCUGCUCUGUGUUAUUACGCUGCUCUGUGUUAAUGUGCUGCUCUGUGUUAAUGUGCUGCUCUGUGUUAUUACGCUGCUCUGUGUUAUUACGCUGCUCUGUGUUAAUGUGCUGCUCUGUGUUAAUGUGCUGCUCUGUGUUAUUACGCUGCUCUGUGUUAAUGUGCUGCUCUGUGUUAAUGUGCUGCUCUGUGUUAUUACGCUGCUCUGUGUUAAUGUGCUGCUCUGUGUUAUUACGCUGCUCUGUGUUAUUACGCUGCUCUGUGUUAAUGUGCUGCUCUGUGUUAAUGUGCUGCUCUGUGUUAAUGUGCUGCUCUGUGUUAAUGUGCUGCUCUGUGUUAAUGUGCUGCUCUGUGUUUUACGCUGCUCUGUGUUAAUGUGCUGCUCUGUGUUAAUUGUGCUCUGUGUUAU
rnacentral:lncRNA from 1 species